CCACCCAGCAGAGGACCAAGCUUCACCCAGCAGUGGGAGGCGAGAAUUCUACUUCUGAACCACCAGUGCCCCCUUGGCUUCACCCAGCAGUGGGCAGGCACCAACGACUCCUGCCAGGAAGCCUGCACCAGCCUCUAGUCCAGCCUCACCCACCAGGGGGCAGAUACCAGAAGUAGGAAAACAAUCCCAAAUCCUGUGGAAGGAACCUGCUAACCGCAGGCCAGACUCUCCCCUGGGACUGGCUGGACCCUGGCCCUUGGGUGACGAGAGAGGAGCGCACUGCUGGGAUGUACAGGACGUUUCCCACUGAGGGCCACUACUCCAAGGUCGAGAAACGCACACUGUCACCUUCACCCCCGCCUGGGACCUCCUGGAGAACUUCCUGACCCUUUUUCCAGAUUCUAACCUGCUGCCCCUCGCUGCGGCCGCAGCAGCCCCAGUGGGUGCACUGAAGGUAGGGGCUGUAUGUGCUGGAAAGAUGAAAGUCAGUCACCCCAAGGCAGAGGUGUGUGGGGGCAGGGUCAAGACUGCGCUCUGAACCCAAGAAAAAAAUAUUGAUAAGUUGAACUUAAAAUUAAAAGCUUUGUGCUUUAAGAGACAACCACCAAGAAAGUGAAAAGAUAACCUACAGAGUGGAAGAGAGUAUUUGCAAAUCAUGUAUGUGAUAAAGGAUUGGUAUCCAGAGUAUAUGAAGAGCAUUUACCACUCAAUAAAAACAUGAGUAAGUCAGCUAAACAGCUGAGCAAAGGACUUGAAUAGACAUUUCUCUUGUUAUAUACCAAGAUAUACCAAGGAAAAUGACCACUAAGCACAUGAAAGGAUGUUCAGGGAAAUGCAAACCAACACCUCAGGGAGAUACCACUUCAUACCCACUAGCGUGGCCAUGAUUAAAAAAUACAGACAGCAACACGUGUUGGUGAGGAUGUGGAGAAACUAACCCUCAUAUGUUGAUGACAGGAAUGUCUAAUGGUGCAGCCACUUUGGAAAACAGCUCGUCAGUCCCUCAACAUUUCAGAUUAGUGGUGGCCAGGCUGGGGAGAGGGAAAACGGGGAGUGACCGCUAAUUGGGUACAGAGUUUCAUUUUGGGGUGAGGAAACUACUCUAAACUUAGAGAGUGGUGAUGGUGGCACAUUGUAUACCUGAAAGUGUGGAUUCUAGGAUAUGUGAAUUAUAGCUCAAUAAAACCGUUAUUUCAAGAA